UGAAAACAGUGUGGAUGGCAAACUUUGGA
rnacentral:piRNA from 1 species